GACGAACGCUGGCGGCGUGCUUAACACAUGCAAGUCGAACGCUGAAGCUUGGUGCUUGCACUGGGUGGAUGAGUGGCGAACGGGUGAGUAAUACGUGAGUAACCUGCCCUUGACUCUGGGAUAAGCCUGGGAAACUGGGUCUAAUACUGGAUACGACAUGUCACCGCAUGGUGGUGUGUGGAAAGGGUUUUACUGGUUUUGGAUGGGCUCACGGCCUAUCAGCUUGUUGGUGGGGUAAUGGCUCACCAAGGCGACGACGGGUAGCCGGCCUGAGAGGGUGACCGGCCACACUGGGACUGAGACACGGCCCAGACUCCUACGGGAGGCAGCAGUGGGGAAUAUUGCACAAUGGGCGGAAGCCUGAUGCAGCGACGCCGCGUGAGGGAUGACGGCCUUCGGGUUGUAAACCUCUUUCAGCACGGAAGAAGCGAAAGUGGUGGUACGUGCAGAAGAAGCGCCGGCUAACUACGUG
rnacentral:rRNA from 1 species